rnacentral:rRNA from 1 species
AGAGUUGAUCAUGGCUCAGGAUGAACGCUAGCUACAGGCUUAACACAUGCAAGUCGAGGGGUAGCAGGUAGCAAUACCGCUGACGACCGGCGCACGGUGAGUAACACGUAUCCAACCUUCCCAUAACUCAGGGAUAGCCUUUCGAAAGAAAGAUUAAUACCUGAUAGUACUUUUUCAAGGCAUCUUGAGAAAGUUAAAGAUUUAUUGGUUAUAGAUGGGGAUGCGUUCCAUUAGAUAGUUGGUGAGGUAACGGCUCACCAAGUCUUCGAUGGAUAGGGGUUCUGAGAGGAAGGUCCCCCACAUUGGUACUGAGACACGGACCAAACUCCUACGGGAGGCAGCAGUGAGGAAUAUUGGUCAAUGGGCGAGAGCCUGAACCAGCCAAGUAGCGUGAAGGAAUGAAGGUCCUAUGGAUUGUAAACUUCUUUUAUAGUAGAAUAAAGUGAUCCACGUGUGGAUUUUUGUAUGUAUACUAUGAAUAAGGAUCGGCUAACUCCGUGCCAGCCGCCGC